rnacentral:rRNA from 1 species
GACGAACGCUGGCGGCGUGCUUAACACAUGCAAGUCGAACGGUGAAGGGAUCAGCUUGCUGGUUCUGGAUGAGUGGCGAACGGGUGAGUAACACGUGAGUAACCUGCCCCCUUCUUCUGGAUAACCGCAUGAAAGUGUGGCUAAUACGGGAUAUUCUGCGCCUGCUGCAUGGUGGGUGUGGGAAAGAUAUUGUUUCGGUGGGGGAUGGGCUCGCGGCCUAUCAGCUUGUUGGUGGGGUGAUGGCCUACCAAGGCGGUGACGGGUAGCCGGCCGGGGAGGGUGGACGGUCACACUGGGACGGAGACACGGCCCAGACUCCUACGGGAGGCAGCAGUGGGGAAUAUUGCACAAUGGGCGCAAGCCUGAUGCAGCGACGCCGCGUGAGGGAUGGAGGCCUUUGGGUUGUGAACCUCUUUCGCCAGUGAAGCAGGCCUGUCCCUUGUGGGUGGGUUGACGGUAGCUGGAUAAGAAGCGCCGGCUAACUACGUG